rnacentral:rRNA from 1 species
UACGGAGGGGGCUAGCGUUGUUCGGAAUUACUGGGCGUAAAGCGCACGUAGGCGGCUUUGCAAGUCAGAGGUGAAAGCCCGGGGCUCAACCCCGGAAUUGCCUUUGAGACUGCAUCGCUAGAAUUGUGGAGAGGUAAGUGGAAUUCCGAGUGUAGAGGUGAAAUUCGUAGAUAUUCGGAAGAACACCAGUGGCGAAGGCGACUUACUGGACACAUAUUGACACUGAGGCACGAAAGCGUGGGGAUCAAACAGG